AUGUGCAAUAACCAGAAGCGGUUGAGCUUGGAGGCUUCAGGCCCAAGCGCAGGAUUAAGGGCCAAAGGGGGUGUAUCUGACCCGCGGGAGGUGCAACGGCCGAAUGGAACCUUAUACAAAUUGUUAAAAGGGACCCCUGUUGUGAAUGUGGUUCCGUUAGUGAUGUUUUACCCGCUAUAGUUAUCUUGGAACCGACCCUGUCAUAAACCCGAAGGACGAAAUAGAACUUGCAGGGUAAAAGUUAUCUUGCUAUGAAUUGAAGUUGUCCACAAGUUGAAUUGGUUUGAAGAUUGGUUGGUGGGUUAACUAGAAGAGUCGUUUCAAAUGGAUGAUGCAGGUUUGAAGUUUGCGAACGGCCAUUGGAUUAAGGUAGUUCAUGGAAGGGAAACUAACUUGGUCUUUGAAUGACAAUGGAUGUCGUGGAAAUUAUUUUAGCAUGUUAGGACUUACUUGGAUUUAGUCUCCCUAUAAUUUUUGUGACUCUUGAGAUGGAUUGACAUUGUUUUAAAUGUAUGGUUUACGUAUUGGCAUAAAGUGUUGUAAUGCAAUUUUCGGUUCAAAUGCAAAUGUAUUUGGAAUUAGAAUGGAGUUAGAGUUGUAAUAGCGAAAUGGUGUUUGGAAUUUUAAUGUUAGGUUUGAAAUCGUAAAGAAUUUGGUUUUGAAAAUUUGUAAUGGAAUGUUAGGUUUGAAAUCGUAAAGAAUUUGGUUUUGAAAAUUUGUAAUGGAAUGUAAUGCAUUAAAGGUUUA